rnacentral:rRNA from 1 species
GAUGAACGCUAGCUACAGGCUUAACACAUGCAAGUCGAGGGGAAACGAUAUUGGAAGCUUGCUUCCGAUAGGCGUCGACCGGCGCACGGGUGAGUAACGCGUAUCCAACCUGCCCACCACUUGGGGAUAACCUUGCGAAAGUAAGACUAAUACCCAAUGACGUCUCUAGAAGACAUCUGAAAGAGAUUAAAGAUUUAUCGGUGAUGGAUGGGGAUGCGUCUGAUUAGCUUGUUGGCGGGGUAACGGCCCACCAAGGCGACGAUCAGUAGGGGUUCUGGGAGGAAGGUCCCCCACAUUGGAACUGAGACACGGUCCAAACUCCUACGGGAGGCAGCAGUGAGGAAUAUUGGUCAAUGGGCGAGAGCCUGAACCAGCCAAGUAGCGUGCAGGAUGACGGCCCUAUGGGUUGUAAACUGCUUUUAUAAGGGAAUGAAGUGAGUCUCGUGAGACUUUUUGCAUGUACCUUAUGAAUAAGGACCGGCUAAUUCCGUGCCAGCAGCCGCCGCCG